rnacentral:tRNA from 2 species
GAAUAUGGUGAAGUGGUUAACACAGCGGAUUGUGGCUCCGUCAUGCGUGGGUUCGAAUCCCACUAUUC